rnacentral:lncRNA from 8 species
AUGACUGACCCCCCCCCCAAAAACACAUUUUACCGAGGCUGCUGGGUAAUAACACAAGAAGUCAGUAUUGAUAAUCCUUCCUUUGUUUUCCUCUCCUCCAUCCCCCUUCCUCUAUCCUCCCCUGUCUCCUCUCCUCUAUCCUCCCCUGUCUCCUCUCCUCUAUCCUCCCCUGUCUCCUCUCCUCUAUCCUCCCCUGUCUCCUCUUCUCCUCUAUCCUCCCCUGUCUCCUCUUCUCCUCUAUCCUCCCCUGUCUCCUCUUCUCCUCUAUCCUCCCUGUCUCUUCUCCUCUAUCCUCCCCUGUCUCCUCUCCUCUAUCCUCCCCUGUCUCCUCUCCUCUAUCCUCCCCGGUCUCCUCUCCUCUAUCCUCCCCGGUCUCCUCUUCUCCAUCCCCCUCUGUCUCCUCUUCUCCUCUAUCCUCCUCUGUCUCCUCUUCUCCUCUAUCCUCCCCUGUCUCCUCUUCUCCUCUAUCCUCCUCUGUCUCCUCCUCUCCUCUAUCCUCCCCUGUCUCCUCUUCUCCUCUAUCCUCCCCUGUCUCCUCUCCUCUAUCCUCCCCUGUCUCCUCUCCUCUAUCCUCCCCUGUCUCCUCUCCUCUAUCCUCCUCUGUCUCCUCUUCUCCUCUAUCCUCCCCUGUCUCCUCUCUCCCCUGUCUCCUCUCCUCUAUCCUCCCCUGUCUCCUCUCCUCUUCUCCUCCCCUGUCUCCUCUAUCCUCCCCUGUCUCCUCUUCUCCUCUAUCCUCCCCUGUCUCCUCUAUCCUCCCCUGUCUCCUCCUCUCCUCUAUCCUCCUCUCUCCUCUUCUCCUCUCCUCUAUCCUCCCCGGUCUCCUCUCCUCUAUCCUCCUCUCUCCUCUUCUCCUCUCCUCUAUCCUCCCCUGUCUCCUCUCUCCCCUGUCUCCUCUCCUCUAUCCUCCCCGGUCUCCUCUCCUCUAUCCUCCUCUGUCUCCUCUUCUCCUCUAUCCUCCUCUCUCCUCUUCUCCUCUCCUCUAUCCUCCCCUGUCUCCUCUCUCCCCUGUCUCCUCUCCUCUAUCCUCCCCUGUCUCCUCUCCUCUUCUCCUCCCCUGUCUCCUCUAUCCUCCCCUGUCUCCUCUUCUCCUCUAUCCUCCCCUGUCUCCUCUAUCCUCCCCUGUCUCCUCCUCUCCUCUAUCCUCCUCUCUCCUCUAUCCUCCCCUGUCUCCUCCUCUCCUCUAUCCUCCCCUGUCUCCUCUCUCCUCUUCUCCUCUCCUCUAUCCUCCCCUGUCUCCUCUCUCCCCGGUCUCCUCUCCUCUAUCCUCCUCUGUCUCCUCUUCUCCUCUAUCCUCCUCUCUCCUCUUCUCCUCUCCUCUAUCCUCCCCUGUCUCCUCUUCUCCUCUAUCCUCCCUGUCUCUUCUCCUCUAUCCUCCCCUGUCUCUUCUCCUCUAUCCUCCCCUGUCUCCUCUCCUCUAUCCUCCCCGGUCUCCUCUCCUCUAUCCUCCCCGGUCUCCUCUUCUCCAUCCCCCUCUGUCUCCUCUUCUCCUCUAUCCUCCUCUGUCUCCUCUUCUCCUCUAUCCUCCCCUGUCUCCUCUUCUCCUCUAUCCUCCUCUGUCUCCUCCUCUCCUCUAUCCUCCCCUGUCUCCUCUUCUCCUCUAUCCUCCUCUGUCUCCUCUUCUCCUCUAUCCUCCUCUGUCUCCUCCUCUCCUCUAUCCUCCCCUGUCUCCUCUUCUCCUCUAUCCUCCCCUGUCUCCUCUUCUCCUCUAUCCUCCCCUGUCUCCUCUUCUCCUCUAUCCUCCCUGUCUCUUCUCCUCUAUCCUCCCCUGUCUCUUCUCCUCUAUCCUCCCCUGUCUCCUCUUCUCCUCUAUCCUCCCUGUCUCUUCUCCUCUAUCCUCCCCUGUCUCCUCUCCUCUAUCCUCCCCUGUCUCCUCUCCUCUAUCCUCCCCGGUCUCCUCUCCUCUAUCCUCCCCGGUCUCCUCUUCUCCAUCCCCCUCUGUCUCCUCUUCUCCUCUAUCCUCCCCUGUCUCCUCUCUCCCCUGUCUCCUCUCCUCUAUCCUCCCCUGUCUCCUCUCCUCUUCUCCUCCCCUGUCUCCUCUAUCCUCCCCUGUCUCCUCUUCUCCUCUAUCCUCCCCUGUCUCCUCUUCUCCUCUAUCCUCCCCUGCCUCCUCUUCUCCUC